ACAGGAGAGCCAAGCAAAGGUCCAGGUGGACCAGUGGCCCAUUAUGUUGUCCCCAGGCUAAAUGUGAGCUAGCCUUUGUCAUAAGGUUGGCUCCUUUUUGACCUCCAGUCAUGCCAGGCUGCUGACGGUGGAGAAUCUCCCUGGGCUCUCAAGGAAUCCAGACUGAGCAAUUUCCCAAGGGCAGAGACUGUUCACUUUUGUCUUUAGAUGGGAUGGGCGUCUUCCAUGCCUAGCACACAGCCCACUUAAUAAACGCUUAAUUGAUUGUUCUUUUCA